UAAAUUAUAAAAGAAGAAAAAAAAAAGUUCACAUUCGAGACGAACUUCGACAAAGGUUGAGAAGAGCAAGAAGGGCUGUCUUCGGAGUCGGAGCGUAGCACGAGAGGCGCGACGACGGAGGAGAAGGGUAGUAAAUAUCCUAGACUCCCCUCGCUUCUCAUUUGCUUUGUAGCUCUCUGCGCUUCGCGCGGCUAGGGUUCUGCCUAUGUAUCUCUCUCCGGCGAUCUCUCUGGUUCAGUAAGAUGUGUCUCAGUGUGAAUUGAUGGAAGUAUUAAUGGAUUUGAUAUUCUAUAGCAAUUGCCUUGAGGUAUUUUCAUAUGUUUCCAUUAUUGAAUCUUCCCUUUUCUGCUGAAUUUAUGUGUAAAGAUACUCAUGGAUCUAUUAACUAUAUAUAUACACGUAUGAAGAGAUUGGGAUUAAUGCUCUUUUGGCUUAAACGUAAGCUCACAUCAUUGAAUUGUGGUAUUAAAUUGGAAGUCUUUGAUGUUUUGUUGUUUCUGAUUUAUUUAGUUAAUUCACACACACACACACACACACACAUAUAUAUAUAUUUAUUUAUUUUUAUUUGAAGUGACCCCAUUUGAUGGGACUUCAGGCAAGGCAAGGCUUGGUUUGGUUUGGUUUGGUUUGGUUCAGUCAUAUAUUUUUUUGAAAUCAACAUGCCCUGUACCUGGCUCUGUUUGCUGGAAAGAUUUUCACCUUCUGACUUUUGCUUCCCUCUUGUAAAAUUGAGGUCAAGCAAUAAUAUAUAUAUAUAUAUAUACAUGUAUACAUAUAUAUACUAGGAAAAAUGAACCUAACAGACAGUGUGUGCGCUCAUUUGAUGUAUGUAGUUAAUUUUUUCCAAAUCUUUUAUAUGUAAAAUCUGCCAAAUCCACAACAAUUACUUACUAUAAUGGAUUCCAUAUAAAUUUCAUUAUGGGCAAAUUACACCGGUGAUCCCUACCCUUUGUGUCAUUUUGGUUUUUAUACUUUCAAUUGACUUAAUUUUGACUCUUAUAAUUUUAAAUUUUAUGUCAAUUUGAUCUAUUAGAUAAUAUCAUUAGUGUUGAGUUUAGCAAGUUUAUAAUUUUUUUAUGUACAUAUUUUUCAUAAAAAAAUGCUAAGAGUUGUAAUCAAUUAGGUCAAAUUGAGACAAAAUCAUAAAUUCAAAGUCAAAAUCGAACCAAUUGAAAUUACAGAGACUAAAAUGAAACAAAGAUCUCUUCCAUUUGUUGCUAGGAAUGGACUGAGUUUGGUUGUAGGUUGAUGUACCAAGUGAAGGUUGUUCCAGUUAGAGAGUUUGUGAACAGCCUCAACUUCAGGAAAUCAUUCUUUCCUAUUUCGCCACAUUGUAUAGUAAACCUGACAAUAUAUUUAUCCAAAAAAAAAAAAAAAAAAUA